AAUAUAAGGAAAACCUCCUUUAUUCGUUUCUCAACAGGUUGUGCUUCAGCAUCAAUGGAGCUAUACAAACUAUGGUGAUACCAAGUGUGAAAUCAGUUUCUCAUUGCUAUGUUCCUGACAGAAUAACAGCAGAAAGGUCGCACAUUUCUGAUUUGCUCACAGUCAGGUCUCCAAAUUGCCUGAUGGGCUGUAGAUUGAUUUCUGUACCACAGGUACAUUUGCUCAUUUACAACCACUCUCAGCAUUUUCAAAAAAGAAUGCCUAAAUGGCUAUGGUUUGAUUCAGUCGUGGGCUGAAAUUCAGUUAAUGUCAGCUCUCCUCAAAGCACUGUAAAUAGCUACCAAAAACAUGCAAUGUAACACAUGAGUACAAGGCCAAAGCAAGGGGAGAGGUACAAGGAUUCACCUGGUGACUGAAUGCUGGGAAUAUUAAUUACAUGCCCAUCUCACCUGGUACUGAACUGCGAUUAACACUGGCUGAGCUCCAC
rnacentral:lncRNA from 1 species